UCCCUUUUGGCUCAGCUGGUAAAGCACCCGCCUGCAGUGCAGGAGACCUGGGUUUGAUUCCUAAGUUGGGAA
rnacentral:tRNA from 1 species